rnacentral:lncRNA from 1 species
CCCUCCUGCCUCUGCAGCGUCGCGGGCGGCAGAGGGCAGACGGCCGGGCACGUGCCCGCGGGGGGCCCCCAGGAUCGCCCCAUGGGACCAGGGAGCAACCUGCCCCGGGCCGCAGAGGUCUCAUUUAAGAUGGAAAUGGGUGACUUGGGAACCAGGGACGCCCAGCACACUGAGAACAUCGUUGGGAGAUUCUUGAAUCAGGGACACACACCAAUCCCUUCUCUUGCAUAUCCCCUGCCUGUCUGUGUUCAGCCCUGGAUGCCCAGGCUCACUCCUGCUGCUUGUUCUUCAGCUCUCACAGCGGGGUCACGUCCAGGCAGCCUUCCCCUACCCUGCCUUCUGUCCCUCUGGGCAGCCCUAGGCACACUGGAUAGUCGGGGUUCUCUACCUGGCCAGUUUCUUAAAGUUUAGGAAUUUUGUGUCAUUUUGUAUUGCCAGCAUCUAACAAAAUCCUUAACUCACAGAAUAAAGGAGUAAACAAAUCUCCCAACUACACAGUUA